ensembl:lncRNA BDNF-AS BDNF antisense RNA
GAGUGUGUCGCCGCGGCCAUCAGGGUAAGGGUACCUGGACUUGCGGCUUUUUAGGUCGGCCUGGCUCCGCUCCUUCCGCGGUGACGAGGUCCCCCGGCCUCCUAGGGUUGGGAAGAGCUGCUUUCCUGACUCUCGUUCCCUGCCUCAGGCUUCCCUUAUCCCAAUCGCUUCGAACCCUUGGCUCAGCGUAGAGGAGUCAAGCCUGGAUUCUAGUCCCACCUUGCCCAUUAGCAGCUCUGUGACCUGGGACUGUUCACUUACCCUCUCUCAGCCUCAGUUUCCGCAUCUGUACAACGAGAGGUCCUAUCUCUUAGGUCCUUACAAUUUUUAAACUCUGGGAUUCGGUGGCAAUUAAAUGUGUAAUGACAUGUUGUCAGUUCUCAAUUUGUGACAGCAUUGCUUUAAAUUUAAAAAUCCACGGCUUGAAUCUUCCCUCCAAAUCUGUUAAGGGGUGGAAAGUACAAAGAGCAUGAAACAUAUCUGGGUGAGGGAGAGAACAAGGUGCUUUGGUGCACCACAAAGUAACAAUUUUAUAAGCAGCUGAUUCUUAUAAAAUCUUAAGUAAAUGAAA